AGGCGAGGGCCUUUUUGAAGCAAGAUGCUAUAGCCUAAAUUGCCUAAAUUUUAUAUAUAUACUUUUAAUAUAAAAAUUCAUACCUUUUAACUAGUUUAAGAAGUAAAAAAGCAUAUUAAAAAGCAUAUCACACCUCCAAUUAAUAGAACAUUAACUAUUUAAAAAUAAGUAACCAUUUGUAAAUACAUAACACACCUCAAUCU
rnacentral:misc_RNA from 1 species